rnacentral:rRNA from 1 species
UAGUACAGUGAUGGAAAGGUGAAAAGAACCCCGGGAGGGGAGUGAAAUAGAUCCUGAAAUUUAGUGCCUACAAGGAGUCGGAGCCGGCUUGUCCGGUGACGGCGUGCUUUUUGUAGAACGAUCCAGCGAGUUAAUUUUUACAGCGAGGUUAAGUCAAUUGACGGAGCCACAGUGAAAGCGAGCCUGAAUAGGGCGAAUAAGUUGUAAGGAUUAGACCCGAAACCGGGUGACCUAACCAUGAGCAGGUUGAAGCCACUGUAACAGGUGGUGGAGGACCGAACCAGGAUACGCAGCAAAGUGUUUGGAUGACUUGUGGUUAGCGGUGAAAUGCCAAUCGAACUCGGAGAUAGCUGGUUCUCCUCGAAAUAGCUUUAGGGCUAGCGUCGUGUUAGUAGCACAUGGGGGUAGAGCUCUGUAAAGGACUGGGGCGGGCAACUGUACCCACCCUUAACAAACUACGAAUACCAUGUGUGUAAUCACGGCAGUUAGAACAUCGGUGCUAAGAUCGGUGCUCGAAAGGGAAACAGCCCAGACCAUCAUCUAAGGUCCCUAAAUUAACGUUCAGUGGGAAACAAGGUGAGAUUUCUUAAACAGCUAGGAUGUUGGCUUAGAAGCAGCCAUUCAUUUAAAGAGUGCGUAACAGCUCACUAGUCAAGAGAUCUUGCGUGGAAAAUGUAACGGGGCUAAAACGUUAUACCGAAGAUAUGGAUUACACGCUAAGUACAAAGUUAAAGUUGUGUUACAAUCAAUUUAUGGAAAAUGAGAUUUACGUAGGUAGCGUCUAUAAACACUAUAAAGGCAAUAAGUAUGUUGUUGUAAGUAUAGCUGUUCAUACUGAGACGCUUGAAGAGCUUGUAGUUUAUCGAGCCAUUUAUGGCGACGGAGAAUUAUGGGCUAGACCUAAGAAAAUGUUUUUAGAUAAUAUUGAAAAGAACGGAAAGAUCAUCCCAAGGUUUAAAUUGAUUAAAAAACUUUGAUUUUGUUCUUAGUGUGUAGUGGUAGAGGAGCGUUCCUAUCAGCGGAGAAGUCGAAUCGGAAGGUUCGGUGGAGCGGUAGGAAGUGAGAAUGCUGGAAUGAGUAACCAUAAGAGAGGUGAGAAUCCUCUCGGCCGUAAGAGCAAGGUUUCCUGAGCCAUGGUAAUCAUCUCAGGGUUAGUCGGGCCUAAGCCGAGGCGCAGAGCGUAGGCGAUGGACAUCAGGUUAAUAUUCCUGAACCGGUUAAGUUUUGUACACUGUUCACGGGGAAGUAAUCGAAGCGGAUUCAUGGUUUAUCCGUCCAACCGAGCGGGAACGCAAAGGGAGUGAAAGUGAUUCUUCGGAGUCGCGAUUUUGGUGAAAGCCCUGGCUAGAAAAGCAGGUGUACGCGUGGACUUAGCCGCCCGUACCGCAAACCAACACAGGUGCUCGAGUCGAGUAGACUCAGGCUUACGAGCGAACCUUCGCUAAGGAACUCGGCAAUACAGCGACCGUAACUUCGGGAUAAGGUCUGCCCCCACUUCGGUGGAUAUCAGCCGCGUUCACUCAGUGAAUAUUAGGUUAAAGAGUACAUUUUUAAUCACAAAACGAAUUUUCUGAGAUAGAGCAAACGAAUUGUUCUUUUGAACGCGAACCUCUGGCAUCUAACGAUGUGGGGGCCGCAGCAAAAGAGCCCACGGAACUGUUUAUCAAAAACACAGGUCUCUGCUAACACGAAAGUGGAUGUAUAGGGGCUGACUCCUGCCCAAUGCUGGAAGGUUAAGGGGAGCGCUUCACGGUGCGAACUGAAGCCCUAGUCAAUGGCGGCGGUAACUAUAACCGUCCUAAGGUAGCGAAAUUCCUUGUCAGGUAAGUUCUGACCCGCACGAAUGGAGUAAUCAUGUGGGCACUGUCUCAGCGAAGGACUCGGUGAAAGUGCAUUGGCGGUAAAGAUGCCGUCUGUCCGUACCAGGACGAAAAGACCCCAUGGAGCUUUACUACAGCUUUACAUUGAAUAUGGUUUCAACAUGUGUAGCAUAGGUGGGAGACUUUGAAGCAGAUACGCCAGUAUUUGUGGAGUCGCCAGGUGAAAUACCACCCUUGUUGUGAUUGUGUUCUCACGCUGACCGUUAUCCGGUUAGCGGACCGUGUAUGGUGGGUAGUUUAACUGGGGCGGUUGCCUCCUAAAGAGUAGCGGAGGCGUUCAAAGGUUGGCUAACUUCGGAUGGAAAUCGAAGUGAUAGUGUAUGCGCAUAAGCCAGCUUGACUGUGAGGAGUACAUUCCAAUCAGAGACGAAAGUCGGAGCAAGUGAUCCGCUGUACGUACAUUUGUACAUGAAUGUGGGAUCGACAGCGCAAACGGAUAAAAGUUACCCUGGGGAUAACAGGCUUAUAGCGCCCAAUAGUUCACAUAGACGGCGCUGUUUGGCACCUCGAUGUCGGCUCAUCACAUCCUGGAGGGGGAGCACCUUCCAAGGGUUCGGCUGUUCGCCGAUUAAAGUGGUACGCGAGCUGGGUUCAGAACGUCGUGAGACAGUUCGGUUUAUAUCCG